rnacentral:rRNA from 1 species
GAUGAACGCUGACAGAAUGCUUAACACAUGCAAGUCUACUUGAAUUUGGGUUUUUAACUUAGGUUUGGGUGGCGGACGGGUGAGUAACGCGUAAAGAACUUGCCUCACAGCUAGGGACAACAUUUAGAAAUGAAUGCUAAUACCUAAUAUUAUGAUAAUAGGGCAUCCUAUAAUUAUGAAAGCUAUAAGCGCUGUGAGAGAGCUUUGCGUCCCAUUAGCUAGUUGGAGAGGUAACGGCUCACCAAGGCGAUGAUGGGUAGCCGGCCUGAGAGGGUGAUCGGCCACAAGGGGACUGAGACACGGCCCUUACUCCUACGGGAGGCAGCAGUGGGGAAUAUUGGACAAUGGACCAAGAGUCUGAUCCAGCAAUUCUGUGUGCACGAUGAAGUUUUUCGGAAUGUAAAGUGCUUUCAGUUGGGAAGAAAGAAAUGACGGUACCAACAGAAGAAGUGACGGCUAAAUACGUGCCAGCAGCCGCGGUAAUACGUAUGUCACGAGCGUUAUCCGGAUUUAUUGGGCGUAAAGCGCGUCUAGGUGGUUAUGUAAGUCUGAUGUGAAAAUGCAGGGCUCAACUCUGUAUUGCGUUGGAAACUGUAUAACUAGAGUACUGGAGAGGUAAGCGGAACUACAAGUGUAGAGGUGAAAUUCGUAGAUAUUUGUAGGAAUGCCGAUGGGGAAGCCAGCUUACUGGACAGAUACUGACGCUGAAGCGCGAAAGCGUGGGUAGCAAACAGG